UGGCUCUCGCAUCGAUGAAGAACGCAGCGAAAUGCGAUAAGUAAUGUGAAUUGCAGAUUUUCAGUGAAUCAUCGAAUCUUUGAACGCACCUUGCGCUCCUUGGUAUUCCGAGGAGCAUGCCUGUUUGAGUGUCAUUAAAUUCUCAACCCCACCGAUUUGCUUCGGGGGGAUUGGACUUGGAGCGUGCUGGCGAAGGUCGGCUCCUCUUUAAAUGCAUCAGUGGAGAGAAACUUGCCCCAGUGUGAUAAUCCUGUUGCGCUGUGGUGGGUGAAAGUCUGCUUCCAACCGUCCCUCCGGGGACAUACGUCAUCUUAUUUUGACCUCAAAUCAGGUAGGACUACCCGCUGA
rnacentral:misc_RNA from 1 species